rnacentral:ncRNA from 1 species
ACAAAGGUUUGGUCCUAGCCUUAUUAUUAGUUGUCAGUAGGCUUAUACAUGCAAGUAUCCGCCAUCCAGUGAAAAUGCCCUUAGCCCCAUCUAUUGGAUGACCUAAGGAGCCGGUAUCAAGCUCACACUGUAGCUCAAAACACCUAGCCUCGCCACGCCCCCACGGGAUACAGCAGUAAUAAAAAUUAAGCUAUAAACGAAAGUUUGACUAAGCUAUACUGAUUAGAGUUGGUCAAUCUCGUGCCAGCCACCGCGGUUAUACGAUUAACCCAAAUUAAUAAUUACCGGCGUAAAGUGUGGUUAGAAUUUAAAAACAACUAAAGCUAAACUUAGUCUUAGCCGUAAAAAGCCCAAGACCAAUGGAAACUCAACUACCAAAGUAGCUUUAUAUACUAACGAACCCACGAUAGCUGAGACACAAACUGGGAUUAGAUACCCCACUAUGCCCAGCCUUAAACCUAGAUAAUUAAUAACAAAAUUAUCCGCCAGAGAACUACGAGCUAUUGCUUAAAACUCAAAGGACUUGGCGGUGCUUUAUACCCACCUAGAGGAGCCUGUUACAUAAUCGAUAAACCCCGAUAAACCCCACCAUCACUUGCUAAAUCAACCUAUAUACCGCCAUCUUCAGCAAACCCUUAAAAGGAUAAAUAGUAAGCCCAAAAGUAAUCACAAAAACGUUAGGUCAAGGUGUAGUCUAUGUGAUGGGGACAAAUGGGCUACAUUUUCUAGCUAAGAACACAUACGAACUUCUAUAUGAAAUUAUAGAACGAAGGAGGAUUUAGCAGUAAAUCAGAAAUAGAGAGUCUGAUUGAACUAGGCCAUGAAGCACGCACACACCGCCCGUCACCCUCCUCAAGUACUGGAACUCAAAAAUCUUAUUUUACUUCAUAAAGUAUUAGAGGAGACAAGUCGUAACAAGGUAAGCAUACUGGAAAGUGUGCUUGGAUUACU